UUAACUAAAGAGUUUGAUUAUGGUUCGGAUCGAACGCUGGCGGCAGGCCUAACACAUGCAAGUCGAGCGGCAGCGGAAAGGAGCUUGCUUCUUUACCGGCGAGCGGCGGACGGGUGAGUGAUGUCUAGGGAUCUGCCCGAUGGCGGGGGAUAACUAUUGGAAACAAUAGCUAAUAC
rnacentral:rRNA from 1 species